rnacentral:lncRNA from 1 species
GUUAAACCACAAAGUUUUGUUAACCUGAUGGCUGAACAUAGAACAUAACGACUUAUAUGGGAUUAUCACAUAACCUGGGGGUUCAAUUACAAAUUCAUCAAAGAGAUAAGAAAUCCCCAAUUUCUGCCGUGUGGCUAGGGAUUUUACACCGCCACCGGCCGGAGGGCCUGCCGCGUCGGCCAUUACUGCGCGCCGGAGGGCGCCGUUGGAGCGUGUCGCCUGCCGUGUGCCGUGGCUGAGGGCCUGAUGCCGCGGGAGUGGUCGUGUCUACUAGCAGCCAUGCCGGAGGGCGCCGUGCCUCCCGUCGCCUCCUUGAUGCCGACCAAGAGUGCUCGGGCGCCGCGUGCCUGUGCCACGACGGAGGUCCGCUCCAGUCUCCACGCCGUGCAGGCUGUCGUCUGGAGCCGGUCUAAUGUGGCUGAGGCGUCCGUGCUGCCGGCCUAGCGCGUGCCGAGGGCAGUCUUUGGAUGCGCUGGGACUCUGCACUUUCAUGGCGGAGGGCAAAGGUACUUAAUCGAUAGAGUUUGUUGCAUACAUAAUUGGUAUUCUUGAUCGCCUCGAAGAAUAGCGCCCAGGAUGUUUGCUUUCUCUUCCAUGGGACUUAAAUUCUUGUGAAUUUUUUGCUGACUGCUCUUCCUUCUUCUCCUUCUCUUGUUCAUGUGCAGGAAUAAAAUCAGAAAGAAAGCACGUUGUUUGACUCGGAUUUCUCCUUUAGUCUAGGCCAGUGAUGUGUGUGGGGGAUCGCCGGAGUUGCUUCAUCUGCUCUUAUCGAGACGACGUUGUUCGUCCUUGACGCCGGAGGGCGUCGAUGUCGUCGAUGUCUCGGCCGCACGCCAGUGUUGUCGCUGUGUUUCUCUUGUUCUUCUCUGUGGCCUGUACUCUUGGUAGAGGCGUGCUGAUAACGUGUUAAGAGAAUCGAGAGAGAUGAGCGAAUGGAAACAUAUAUAUGAAUGAACCAUUAGUCUUUAUUGAUGAUAGAAGCGGGGUAUUUAUACCCGGGCGGAAGUACACAUGUUACUUGGGAGUCAAGUAAACUCAAAGUCACUUGGGAGCCAAGGAAUUACAUAGCUGCCUUGAGA